GCCCCCGUAGUUCAAUGGAUAGAACGAGGGACUUCUAAUCCCCAAAUAGGGGUUCGAUUCCUCUCGGGGGCA
rnacentral:tRNA from 1 species